rnacentral:rRNA from 1 species
CGCGACCCCAGGUUAGGCGGGAUUACCCACAAAAUUUAAGCAUAUCAAUAAGCAGAGGAAGAGAAACUUACAAGGAUUCCCCUAGUAACGGCGAGCGAACCGGGAAGAGCCCAACUUAAGAAUCGGGUGCCACUCGGCAUUCGAAUUGUAGUCUGGAGAAGCGUCCUCUUCGGCAGACCAGGCCCAAGUCCCCUGGAUGGGGGCGCCAGAGAGGGUGAGAGCCCAGUUGUGCCCAGACCCUGUCGCACCACGAGGCGCUGUCUGCGAGUCGGGUUGUUUGGGAAUGUAGCCGCAAUUGGGCAGUAAAUUCCAUCUAAGGCUAAAUAUGGGCGAGAGACUAAUACCAAACAAGUACCGCAAGCGAAAUAUGAAAAGGACUUUGAAAAGAGAGUCAAAGAGUGCUUGAAAUUGUCAGGAGGGAAGCGGAUGGGGGCCGGCGAUGCGCCCUCGUCAGAUGUGGAAUGGUGUAUGCCGGUCUGCAGAUCGACUCGGGGUGUGGACUGAUGCGGAUUGUGGUGGCGGCCCAAGCCCGGGUUGUAGUCAUGCCCGUGGAGACGUCAUUUUCGUGAUCGUGGCGGGCAACACGCGCCGCAAGGUGUGCUUCGGCAUCUGCGUGCUCCUGGCAUCGGCCUGUGGGCACCCCAUUCGGCCCCUCUUGAAACACAGACCAAGGAGUCUGACAUGUGUGCGAGUCAACGGGCUAGUAAACCCGUAAGGCGCAAGGAAGCUGAUUGGUGGGAUCCUCUUGUGUGUUGCACCACCGACCGACCUUAAUCUUCUGAGAAGGGUUCGAGUGAGAGCAUACCUGUCGGGACUCGAAAGAUGGUGACCUAUGCCUGAACGAGGCGAAGCCAGAGGAAACUCUGGUGGAGGGCUGCAGCGAUACUAACGUGGAAAUCGUUCGUCUGACUUGGGUAUAGGGGCGAAAGACUAAUCAAACCGUCUAGUAGCUGGUUCCCUCCAAAGUUUCCCUCAGGAUAGCUGGAGCCCACGGGCGAGUUCUAUAUGGUAAAGCCAAUGAUUAGAGGCAUCGGGGGCCAUUUUUGGUAAGCAGAACUGGCGAUGCGGGAUGAACCGAAAGCCGGGUUACGGUGCCNNNNNNNNNNCGGGCGAGUUCUAUAUGGUAAAGCCAAUGAUUAGAGGCAUCGGGGGCCAUUUUUGGUAAGCAGAACUGGCGAUGCGGGAUGAACCGAAAGCCGGGUUACGGUGCCAAACUGUGCGCUAACCUAGAACCCACAAAGGGUGUUGGUCGAUUGAGACAGCAGGACGGUGGUCAUGGAAGUUGAAAUCCGCUAAGCAAUGUGUAACAACUCACCUNNNNNNNNNNNNNNNNNNNNNAACUGUGCGCUAACCUAGAACCCACAAAGGGUGUUGGUCGAUUGAGACAGCAGGACGGUGGUCAUGGAAGUUGAAAUCCGCUAAGCAAUGUGUAACAACUCACCUGCCGAAUCAACUAGCCCCGAAAAUGGAUGGUGUUGAAGCGCGAGACCUAUACCCGGUCGUCAGGGCAAGUGCUAGGCCCCAAUGAGUAGGAGGGCGCGGCAGUGCAAAUCUUGGUGGUAGUAGCAAAUAUUCAAAUGAGAACUCUGAAGGCCGAAGAGGGGAAAGGUUCCAUGUGAACGGUACUUGCACAUGAGUUAGUCGAUCCUAAGAGACGGGGGAAGCUCGUCUGAUAGCGUGCUGCACGUGAGCUUCGAAAGGGAAUCGGGUUAAAAUUCCUGAACUGGGACAUGGCGGCUGACGGCAACGUUAGGGAGUCCAGAGACAUCGACAGGGGCCUUGGGAAGAGUUAUCUUUUCUGUUUAACAGCCUGCCCACCUUGGAAACGGCUUAGCCAGAGGUAGGGUCCAGUGGUUGGAAGAGCACUGUACUUCGCGUGGUGUCUGGUGUGCCCCCGGUGGCCCUUCAAAAUUCGGAGGACUGAGUGCCAUCCACGCCCAAUCCUACACAUAACCGCCUCAGAUCUCCAAGGUAAAUAGCCUCUGGUCGAUGGAACAAUGUCGGCAAGGGAAGUCGGUAAAAUGGAUCCGUAACCUCAGGAAAAGGAUUGGCUCUGAGGGCUAGGCAAGGGGGUGCCAGUCCCAAACCCGUCGACUGUCGAUGGACUGCUAGAGCUGCUCCCAUGGCGAGAUCGGGUUGCCGGGGUGCCGGCCGGGGGACGGACCGGGAAUAAUCGCUUCGGCGGUCUUCCCCAGGGUUCGAACAGUUGACUCAGAACUGGUACGGACAAGGGCAAUCCGAUUGUUUAAUUAAAACAAAGCAUUGCGAUUGUCCCUGUGAAUGCUCACGCAAUGUGAUUUCUGCCCAGUGCUUUGAAUGUGAAAGUGAAGAAAUUCAACCAAGCGCGGGUAAACGACGGGAGUAACUAUGACUCUCUUACGAUAGUCGAAUGCCUCGUUUCUAAUUAGUGACGCGCAUGAAUGGAUUAAUGAGAUUCCCACUAUCCCUGUCUACUAUCCAGCAAAACCACAGCCAAGGGAACGAGCUUGGCAGAAUCAACGGGGAAAGAAGACCCUGUUGAGCUUGACUCUAGUUUGACUUUGUGAAAUGACUUGAAAUGUGUAGGAUAAGUAGGAGCCGAAAGGCAAAAGUGAAAUACCACUACUUUUAAUGUUAUUUUACUUAUUCCGUGAAUCGGAAGCGGGGCAUUGCCCCUCUUUCUGGGCCCAAGGCUCAUUUUGGUGGGCCAAUUCGGGGCAGAAGACGUUGUCAGGUGGGGAGUUUGGCUAGAGCGUCACAUCUGUUAAAAGAUAACGCAGGUGCCUAAGAUGAGCUCAACGAGAACAGAAAUCUCGUGUGGAACAAAAGGGUAAAAGCUCGUUUGAUUCUGAUUUCUAGUACGAGUACGAACCGUGAAAGUGUGGCCUAUCGAUCCUUUGGACCUUCGAAAUUUGAAGCCAGAGGUGUCAGAAAAGUUACCACAGGGAUAACCGGCUUGUGGCAGCCAAGUGUUCAUAGCGACGUUACUUUUUUAUCCUUCGAUGUUGGCUCUUCUUAUCAUUGUGAAGCAGAAUUCACCAAGUGUUGGAUUAUUCACCCACCAAUAGGGAACAUGAGCUGGGUAUAGACCAUCGUGAGACAGGUUAGUUUUACCCUAUUGAUGACAGUGUCGCAAUAGUAAUUCAACCUAGUACCAGAGGAACCGUUGAUUCGCACAAUUGGUCAUCGCGCUUGGUUGAAAAGCCAAUGGCGCGAAGCUACCGUGCGCUGGAUUAUGACUGCUCUCCUCUAAGUCAGAAUCCGGGCUAAAAGUGACGCGUGCGCCCGUCGCCCAAUUGCCGACCUGCAGUAGGGGCCUUAGGGCCCCUAGAGGCACAUGUCGUUGGUGAAGACCUCACGGCGGAUGAGCCAUGCAGACUGCAAUGAAGUACAAUUCUCACCGAGCGGC